GAGUUUGAUCAUGGCUCAGGAUGAACGCUGGCGGCGUGCUUAACACAUGCAAGUCGAACGAAGCGCCUUAUUUGAUUUUCUUCGGAACUGAAGAUUUGGUGACUGAGUGGCGGACGGGUGAGUAACGCGUGGGGUAACCUGCCCUGUACAGGGGGAUAACAAUCAGAAAUGACUGCUAAUACCGCACAAGACCACAGCACCGCAUGGUGCAGGGGUAAAAACUCCGGUGGUACAGGAUGGACCCGCGUCUGAUUAGCUGGUUGGUGAGGUAACGGCUCACCAAGGCGACGAUCAGUAGCCGGCUUGAGAGAGUGAACGGCCACAUUGGGACUGAGACACGGCCCAAACUCCUACGGAGGCAGCAGUGGGGAAUAUUGCACAAUGGGGGAAACCCUGAUGCAGCAACGCCGCGUGAGUGAAGAAGUAUUUCGGUGUGUAAAAGCUCUAUCAGCAGGGAAGAAAGUGACGGUACCUGACUAAGAAGCCCCGGCUAACUACGUGCCAGCAGCCGCGGU
rnacentral:rRNA from 1 species